UCUGACUUAUAGCCAAGCGGUCCCACUAGAGUUCCCAACUAAAUGAUGGUAACUAGCGGCGAGGGUUGCGCUCGUUGCGGGACUUAACCCAACAUCUCACAACACGAGCUGACGACAGCCAUGCAGCACCUGUCACCGGGUCCCCGAAGGGAACCCCUGCUUUCACAGGGUAGCCCGGGAUGUCAAGCCUGGGUAAGGUUCUUCGCGUAGCAUCGAAUUGAACCACAUGCUCCACCGCUUGUGCGGGCCCCCGUCAAUUCCUUUGAGUUUUAAUCUUGCGACCGUACUUCCCAGGCGGGAUACUUAAUGCGUUAGCUUCGACACCGAAACUAUUAGGUAUUCCGACGUCUAGUAUCCAUAGUUUAGGGCGUGGACUAC
rnacentral:misc_RNA from 1 species